GAUGAACGCUGGCGGCGUGCCUAAUACAUGCAAGUCGAGCGAACAGAUGAGGAGCUUGCUCCUCUGACGUUAGCGGCGGACGGGUGAGUAACACGUGGAUAACCUACCUAUAAGACUGGGAUAACUUCGGGAAACCGGAGCUAAUCCCGGAUAAUAUAUUGAACCGCAUGGUUCAAUAGUGAAAGACGGUUUUGCUGUCACUUAUAGAUGGAUCCGCGCCGCAUUAGCUAGUUGGUAAGGUAACGGCUUACCAAGGCAACGAUGCGUAGCCGACCUGAGAGGGUGGUCGGCCACACGGGAACUGAGACACGGUCCAGACUCCUACGGGAGGCAGCAGUAGGGAAUCUUCCGCAAUGGGCGAGAGCCUGACGGAGCAACGCCGCGUGAGUGAUGAAGGUCUUCGGAUCGUAAAACUCUGUUAUUAGGGAAGAACAAAUUUGUAAGUAACUAUGCACGUCUUGACGGUACCGAAUCAGAAAGCCACGGCUAACUACGUG
rnacentral:rRNA from 1 species